UACGAAGGGGGGCUAGCGUUGUUCGGAAUUACUGGGCGUAAAGGGCGCGUAGGCGGUACUUCAAGUCAGGCGUGAAAGCCCCGGGCUCAACCUGGGAACCGCGCUUGAGACUGGAGAACUAGAGUUCGGGAGAGGAUGGUGGAAUUCCCAGUGUAGAGGUGAAAUUCGUAGAUAUUGGGAAGAACACCGAUGGCGAAGGCAGCCAUCUGGACCGACACUGACGCUGAGGCGCGAAAAGCGUGGGGAGCAAACAGG
rnacentral:rRNA from 1 species